GCCUUAAAAGCUAAAAGACAGCAGUUAA
rnacentral:tRNA from 1 species